ACUAAGGUAGCGUAAUUAUUUGUCUUUUAAUUGAAGACUGGUAUGAAGGGUUUAACUUGAUUUUUUGUUUGUUAAGUUAAAUAGAAAAUUAAAGUCAUGGUAAGAAUUCUUUGAUCUUUUAGGGGACGAUAAGACCCUAAAAGCUUUAUAAAUGUGGUUUUAUUAGUGAUAUAAAGUAUUUUAUUUUACUGGGGCGGUAAAAGUUAAUUUGCUAUGUGGUUAGAAUGUGAUCCUGUAUAUGAGGCGAUGUUGGUGAAGUUACUUUAGGGAUAA
rnacentral:rRNA from 1 species